rnacentral:rRNA from 1 species
UACGAAGGGGGCUAGCGUUGCUCGGAAUCACUGGGCGUAAAGCGCACGUAGGCGGAUUGUUAAGUCAGGGGUGAAAUCCUGGAGCUCAACUCCAGAACUGCCUUUGAUACUGGCGAUCUCGAGUCCGGGAGAGGUGAGUGGAACUGCGAGUGUAGAGGUGAAAUUCGUAGAUAUCUGGAGGAACACCGGUGGCGAAGGCGGCAUCCUGGACCGGCAUUGACGCUGAGGCGCGAAAGCCAGGGGAGCAAACGGG